CCCUUAGAUGUUCUGGGCGGCCCGCGCACUACAAUGGCGUGUGCAGCGAGUGCCGAAGUAGAGUUUUCCGAGGUAUUCUUGCAAUGCUCGUUUUGAUGGGGAUAGACCCUUGCAACUGUUGGUUUUGAACGAGGAAUUCCUUGUAAGCAUGGUUUAUCAUCCGACGCUGAAUGCGUCCCUGCCCUUUGUACACACCGCCCGUCGCUCCUACCGAUGAGUCGUCCGGUGAAGUUCGUAGACCUCGUGAUCGCGGAUCACUGGGGGAAGCAAAAUGAACCUCGCGGUUUAGAGGAAGGAGAGGUCGUAACA
rnacentral:rRNA from 1 species